rnacentral:lncRNA from 1 species
AGAAUGUAAAACUCUAACAUGAAUAGGGGGAAGCUUAGAGCAAGUUACCAUAAUUUUUCUUGUUCUGAGGGUUAAAUUGAAAAUAUUCCUUGCUCUAUUCAAGGCUUUUCAUCAUUUUGGAGGGCCAUCUGACUAUUAAACCCAAACUUUAAUGAAUUUCAGAACUGGAGCCAAAGAGGUUUCCUCUUCGUUUCCCCCCUGUUCUUCUAUGACCUGUAUAAUUUAGGGUUGCACAUUUUCUCGAAAUUUAUUGUGUUCUAAUCUUGAAUUUGUCCAAAAGAUUGGAUCUUUCAAGUUUAUGAUGUAUGGGUUUGUAAAUUGGAGCUCGUAGCAGCUGAAGGGAUCAUUUUUCUAUUACUCCAGUUUCACUCAUGGGCUGCACACUUAUCAGAUUUUACUGCAAAGAGGGCUAUCUUUCUUUCAAUUUCUUGCUCUGAAAGCACAGGUCAAGGUAUAAAGUAGGCCAAGUAAUCCUUUUGCCUUUUUGCCUUUAUUUUUUUGGAGCCAUUGUUUGGGUUAUUCAUUUUCUUUAGAAUUGGGAUCAAUAUAACUACAUGUAGUGAUUAAUCAUCUUAGGCUCACUUUUGCUGAAAAGUCUUUUUUCUUUUGGGAUUUUUGUUUCAGUUUCCAUAAUUUGUUGUUGUUCGAGAAAUCUUUUGUAGUUCAUAUUUAUGAUCAGCUGAGAAGUGAGAACCCUCUGGAAGCUACUUUAAAGUGAUGAAUUGCACUCUCUCUGUAAGGAAAUGCUAUUUGUUUACUCAAUUAGGGUGUUUUUGUAUUCAUAUACUAUGCAUAGGUUGUAUGUGUGUGUGUGGAUUUUUGAAGAAGAUAUAAUUGGCGUAAAAACUUUGACUUGUCUGCAUUUGAGCAAAACUUCAAAAGAAAUCUAAUAUAUUUGGUUUACAUUAAGCCUUUUAUGUCCAAAUGCAAUAUUUGCUUAGUGCUGAACUAUUAUGCAAAUGCAAGUUUUUGACUUGGCAUUCUUUACGGUUUACUUUUGCGAUAACGCCUGAUGAGGCUUAUUUUUCUGUUUACUAGUAAGUCAGGAUGUUAUGCUGCCCAUUUUUUUUUUUUUUUUUGUGAGAGUGUGUGUGUGUGUGUGGUUUUUUUCUUUUUAACUUCUUUAAAGGCUUUCCCUAUAAGCAAACAUUAGGGCCAGCUAUUUUCUUUUUUUUUUCUUUUCUUUUUUCAAUUAUUUGGAUUUCAAAGUUGAGGAGCCAAAUCGAGUAGUUGAAUUUGUGCGUCAUACUUCAUAGGCUCCACUUGGCAGAUUGCACCAGGUGAGUAGUACAGAAGAUUGGGAGUGUUGCCCUGUUUUCCCUCAAAUUCCUGGUUCUAAAUAAGCUUGAGCAAUCCUUUUUAUGCAAAACCCAAAAAUUGUGCUACCUUCCUGCUUCUCUGCUUCUCCCAUUUUUGUGCCAAACAUGAAGUUUCCUGAUAUUCUCUGUUAGUGACUUCCUUUUUUUGUUUGUUUUUAAGAUACUUUGAGUCAUUGUUGAUAGCUUUUUGAGCAUUGACACAAUUAUAUCUCUUAAACUUGCUUAUAAUUUUCUUUUGGAGGUCAGGAAGGUUAGGGAACGGUUGUUUUUGGUGUUUGUGUUGGAAACAUGAAGUAUAUUUAACUUCUUGUCAUGUCAAAGGUCCAAACAAUGACAAUGGAUAUCUCUGCUAGAUGUUGGACCUAAAGAUGGUUUGUCAUUGUUGCUUUAUGUUGUUUCAAAGUAUUCUGCAAUAGAUUCUCUUAGGAAAAAUCAUGUUGGUUUUCUUCUGGUUUAAGGCAGAAAGCCAUUAGGUUCGUUAUAACUAAUGUACAUAAUUUGAUGUAGGAAUUCUUCAUCUGAUGUUGCAGACUAUCUUGAUCACAUCUAAUGGAGCUUGUAAGCUGGGUGCAUUUGGUUUCACACCUACAGGUCACUCAUCCAGUGAUUCAGCUAAUGUGCGGGCUUUCCACUAUGCUGUGAGUGUAAAUUUUCAUAUCACAGUGAAAAACAGAAUAUAAUUGCACGUUUUUUUUAGUUCAUUUUUCUACUGCAUUUCUAGUUAUUGAAUUUGUGAAUUGAUAGCAUUUCUUUUAUCUGAAUCUUAUUGCUGUUAAGCAUGCUGCUGGACCUGCAUUAGCUUUUUGAUUUAUCAUGGAAAAUCUGUUGUUUGAAUAGUAGUAUCUUAAACAGAUUUGGUUGCUAAUUGGUUCUUGGAAAGGUUUAACACAAAUUUUCUUCAUAAAUUAGUGCUUGGAGCUCUAUCAAUGCUAUAUCUGAGCUCAAGUAUGAGCUAUAUAUGAAGAGGAGCCAGGCAGAUCCAUAUGGUUUCAUGUUACAUUAGAGUUAGAUCUAUGUUGUUGAUGAGUAAAGAAUAGAAAGAAGUGUUGUGGGAGGGGUUUUGGAAGGACCGAAGUGCAUGAUAUAUGUAGAUUUGGUGAGUAUGAUCCUCUUAACGUGCUGGACUAUUAUGUUAUCACCUUAGACUCAAUCAAGACAAGUACAUCGAAGAUUAGGGAUGACAACGCGACAGGUGCCUGCCUUGCAGGGGAAGGAAUGGGACGGGAGAUUUUUCUCCUCCUACUUUAAAUGGGGUGGGGGAGGAUACCAAUAUAUAUUUUGACAAAAGCUUUGUCCUUCAUAUCAUUCGAUUCUUUUGAGUCUCUUUUGAUUAGUAGACAGACAAAAGAAUAUAUCAGUUUUUUGGUUAGAACUUACUGUUAUACUAGCACCAAAUGUUCUUGACUGUGAUUGCAACAUCUCCAAUUAUGGGAAGUAAGGGGCCGCUUGGUUUGAGGGGUUUGGCAUGUGGAAUGACAAUAAUUCCAAUAUUUAGUGCUUGGUACACUGUAAUGGCAAUUGAAAUAUUGGAAUCAUACCCAAUUCAUGAUUCCCGACUAAAUUGGGAGGAAUCACUCAAAACCCUCAGCUCAUUUCCAACAGUGAAUAAAUAAAAGACAAAAUAUUUUGUUAAAAUACUUUCUUUCUCCCUCUCCCAGACUUCCACCAUCGAACCUCCCCUUCCUCUCUGCCUUCAACACCUCUCUCUCCCCCAUGGCAUCUGGCAAUUCCUCCCCUUUUUCUUAUUUUUCCCUCUUUAUCAGCAUUUGACAACACCCAAAUGGGCUUGCCGGCAGAAAAAUAGAUUCAAAUGGAAGAAAUCGAAGAGGAAGCCGCACCAGCAAACACCGACAAGUCAUCACCGUUAUUAUCUGAAUUCUCCCCGUAAGAUCCGUUGGCCCGAGGUCGAGGUCCACCUCUACAAGCUUGGCAAAGGACCCAUCAAUGUCUUCAAGUCCAGCCUUAGUGGGUGGGACCAAGACUAGUUGGAGGUCACCGAUUUUUUUCCUUUUCCAUGGCAUCUGACAAAAUCUCUCUUCUUCUCCCACGGCCGGUCACUUCCACCUCAUCCCAGUAGACCCUUUCUUCUCCUCCCUUGCCAUCAAAUCGUCCUCCUCAUUGCAAUCGUUCUCCACAAAUCGUUCAAAUCUUUUAUUGAUUAGUCAUGAGUUUUUGUUGAUAAUCGUUGAACCAAAAACAAAAAAGAUUUGGAUUGGUAGUGAUUUGAUGAUGGGCGUGAUUAUCAAUCCAAGAACAAUAAUUAAAAAAUAAAAAAUUAAUUUUGAUACCAUUCCAACUAUAUUUAUACCAAGCACUAGUCCGUGGAAUAAUACCAGGGGUUCAAACCCAUACUAAUUUUUUGUAUAUCAUUCCAUCUCCAAUACCAAUUCCAAAACAUGAACCAAGCACCCCCUAAGAGUGUCCAUAAGAUGGAUUAGUGAUGACUAGAGAACCAAUUUCUGGAUGGCAAACACCACAAGCCCUCUAACAGAGAUCAAUGGCAU